AAACAUCCUUAGGCUGUCCCAUUGGACAUCCCUCCCCAACUCCUGGUACCUCCCCGUUUCUCUGUCAAGGAAAGAUAUUUCUUGCUGGCUUUGAUGAAUUUGCCGGGUUGAAGAACCCCCCAUGGCAAGAAAUUGAGGGCAACUUCCUGUCAACAGCCCGUGAAAAACUGAGUCCUCAGUUCAACAGUCCACAGGAAUCAAAACUCUUGCCAACAACCAUGUGAACUUGGAAAGCUGAUUCUUCCCCAGUCAAGCCUCAAGAUGAGACCACAGCCUCACGGCUCUUAGUUAAUCCUUGAAAUAGCCCAUUGUAGAGGCAAGGUGCUUGAAUUUCAAGAGGUGGAGAGUAGGAAGAGGCAUCACUUAAUGGUUAAAAGAAAAGACGUUGCAGAUUUCUCCCUACUGGAGAAGACUACAAC